rnacentral:rRNA from 1 species
AUUGAACGCUGGCGGCAUGCCUUACACAUGCAAGUCGAACGGCAGCACGGGUGCUUGCACCUGGUGGCGAGUGGCGAACGGGUGAGUAAUACAUCGGAACGUACCCUAUCGUGGGGGAUAACGUAGCGAAAGUUACGCUAAUACCGCAUACGACCUGAGGGUGAAAGCAGGGGAUCGCAAGACCUUGCGUUAUACGAGCGGCCGAUGUCAGAUUAGCUAGUUGGUGAGGUAAAGGCUCACCAAGGCGACGAUCUGUAGCGGGUCUGAGAGGAUGAUCCGCCACACUGGGACUGAGACACGGCCCAGACUCCUACGGGAGGCAGCAGUGGGGAAUUUUGGACAAUGGGCGCAAGCCUGAUCCAGCAAUGCCGCGUGCAGGAAGAAGGCCUUCGGGUUGUAAACUGCUUUUGUACGGAGCGAAAAGGCUCCCUCUAAUACAGGGGGCUUAUGACGGUACCGUAGGAAUAAGCACCGGCUAACUACGUGCCAGCAGCCGCCGCGG